GUGGGGAAUUUUGGACAAUGGGCGAAAGCCUGAUCCAGCAAUGCCGCGUGUGUGAAGAAGGCCUUCGGGUUGUAAAGCACUUUUGUCCGGAAAGAAAUCCUUUGGGUUAAUACCUCGGAGGGAUGACGGUACCGGAAGAAUAAGGACCGGCUAACUACGUGCCAGCAGCCGCGGUAAUACGUAGGGUCCGAGCGUUAAUCGGAAUUACUGGGCGUAAAGCGUGAGCAGGCGGUUUUGUAAGACAGAUGUGAAAUCCCCGGGCUUAACCUGGGAAUUGCAUUUGUGACUGCAAGGCUAGAGUGUGUCAGAGGGGGGUAGAAUUCCACGUGUAGCAGUGAAAUGCGUAGAGAUGUGGAGGAAUACCGAUGGCGAAGGCAGCCCCCUGGGAUAACACUGACGCUCAUGCACGAAAGCGUGGGGAGCAAACAGGAUUAGAUACCCUAGUAGUCC
rnacentral:rRNA from 1 species